GACGUAGGGCGCGAGCGUUUGUCCGGAUUUAUUGGGCGUAAAGAGCUCGUAGGCGGCUUGUUGCGUCGACCGUGAAAACCCGCGGCUUAACUGUGGGCUUGCGGUCGAUACGGGCGGGCUGGAGUUCGGUAGGGGAGAUUGGAAUUCCUGGUGUAGCGGUGAAAUGCGCAGAUAUCAGGAGGAACACCGGUGGCGAAGGCGGGUCUCUGGGCCGAUACUGACGCUGAGGAGCGAAAGCGUGGGGAGCGAACAGG
rnacentral:rRNA from 1 species